rnacentral:lncRNA from 1 species
AAUAUAUAGUUUAAAUAUUGGUUUAUCAUUUAGCGUCACAAUGGGUUGGCAAUAUUGUAAUUUAAUUUUGCUUUUGACGAAUUUAUUACAUAAAAUUUCACUUGUUCUAUUUUUAUUUUCUUUGCAUAACAAAACCUAUAAACACAAAAAUAAUAUAAAUAGCUCAAAAAUAUAAGGAACUAACUAAGAAAAGACGAGUGAAUUUGAAGUAAAAAUAUAUAUAAAUAUCAUCCGAUCAAAUACCCCCACACUUA